GUUUAAUACUAGAUCAAAAUUCCGGGUUCGAAGCCCAGCAGCGGAAAUAUCUUUUUGGUGCUUUUAAUAUUGUAUCUUGUAUGACAAUUGAAGAUACUUUCUAAUAUUGUUCUUUCUUCUCUGCUCAUUGUUAUGGCUUUUAUACUAUAUUAUAUGAUUCUUGAAGAAAAUUGUGCUUGAGUUUUAGAUAUGAAGGGGUC
rnacentral:sRNA from 1 species